rnacentral:lncRNA from 1 species
ACCCUCGGCCCCCCACGGCGGUUGGUCCGGGCGGGGGAAGGAGAAAGUGAGACUCGGUGUCAUCACCAAUCCAUCGCCAGAAGGGGAGGAAACUGGAAUCCAGCAGCGGCGAGCAGCAGCUGGACGGUAACAUCUGGAAAUGGAAAGCCGACCUCCCCCUCCUCCUCCACCUCCUCCUCCUCCUCCUCCUCCUCCUCCUCCUCCUCUCACCCAGGAUCACUUCCAAAACCACUUGGCCUUCAGCCCCUGCCUCGGCCAGAGGUUUCAUUUUUAACUGAAUAUUUACGAAAGCUGAAAGCGUGCGAGGGGGGUGGGGUGGAAAUAGCGGCUGCUUCUUUUCCAAGGAUUUAUUUAAUGGGGAUGUGUUCAAGGCAAGACCGAAUUCAGAAGGAUAUCGACGUCGUGAUCCAGAAGUCCAGAGCUGAGGACUGCCUGUUUGCAGGACAACUGUGCAGACUACAAAGCUUCGGAAAACCGGAGAGGCUGAGUCGACUAAUCGUGUUGUUGCACGUUAGAAACGCUUGCAUUGCCUGACUCUGAAACCAGAAGGGCGGCCGAAUGGCCUUCACCCUCCAUUAACCCUCGCCUCCUUCAGAAGCCAGUGCCUCUGGAAAUGCCUGGAUCUGCGACCCCAGCCUGAGCCUAGUAGGGCCCAAGGGAAGCUGAACGCCCCGACGGCUCUCAUGGUAGGGCACUGGCAACAGUUUUCCGUUUGUGCCUACUCCACCUGCUGUCUUUGUUGGGUCAGCGAACAUCGCCUCCCUCUACCGCUCAAUCAGCAAAAGGGACCGCCCUUGAGGACCUCACCCGCCGCUCACUCCCCUCCCAACUUCGCGGGCAUCGCCUCCGGUCGCCUCUUCCGAAGGCCUAACGAGCAUGUUAGCUGCGAACGGAGGUGAGGAGGCUCCGCUGACUGACCGGUGCCCACGUCCAGGGCACGCACAAACGCCAUGACUUGGCUUGGCCUCUCUCUUAGUUAUUCACAGCUCAGCCCGAUAGGCACCUCUGGGGCGGCGACGGCAAAGAGGGUGCGCUUAUUAAGUGCAGCUCCACGGGGACUGGCCUCUCUGCACGGCUGUGUACACCUGAGCGAGACGCUCAGUCGCUCUCUAAAGCCGCUUCU